rnacentral:pre_miRNA from 1 species
UUUUAAAAAUUCAUCCAUUUCUACUGCUAAGAACUAACAUGACUGACAAAAUAACCAAAUAAUAACAUAUGACAUGCCCAAGUACCUUAUGUUGGUUUAUAGUGACUAAUUUUUAAUAGUAAAAAUAGAUUUUUUUAGCA